UGGGGAAUUUUGGACAAUGGGCGCAAGCCUGAUCCAGCAAAGCCGCGUGCAGGAUGAAGGCCUUCGGGGUGUAAACUGCUUUUGUACGGGAAGAAACCACCCCUCGUGAGGGGUAUUGACGGUACCGUAAGAAUAAGGAUCGGCUAACUCCGUGCCAGCAGCCGCGGUAAUACGUAGGGUGCGAGCGUUAAUCGGAAUUACUGGGCGUAAAGCGUGCGCAGGCGGUCUUGUAAGACAGUCGUGAAAGCCCCGGGCUUAACCUGGGAACUGCGAUUGUGACUGCAAGGCUAGAGUGUGUCAGAGGGGGGUGGAAUUCCACGUGUAGCAGUGAAAUGCGUAGAGAUGUGGAGGAACACCGAUGGCGAAGGCAGCCCCCUGGGAUAACACUGACGCUCAUGCACGAAAGCGUGGGGAGCAAACA
rnacentral:rRNA from 1 species